AAGUCGUAACAAGGUUUCCGUAGGUGAACCUGCGGAAGGAUCAUUAACACUUUUAUCCUUUUAUCCAAACCCCAAUGUGAACUUGUCUUCUACCCCUUUUUCAGUUUUCACUCUUUAUUGAGUGAGGACUUUGUGAAAGGGCCCUCAAGUUUUUUCUUCUCUUCUUAUCUUUCUUCUAAGAAAGGGUUGUUUGAUGAAGGAGAAACGGUAUUCCUUUUCAUUUUCUUUAACUCCUAUAAUCAACCUUAACUGUUGAACUAAAUCCAAUCGCUUCUUACUUUUUCCUUUGUAACAAAAGGAGAGAGAGGAUAGUGAGUGAUCUUACGUAAUGUAUGAACAACUCUUAGCAAUGGAUAUCUUGGUUCUC
rnacentral:misc_RNA from 1 species